rnacentral:rRNA from 1 species
ACACGACUACAUUAGAUACCCGUGUAGUCCUAGCCGUAAACGAUACUCGCUAGGUGUCGGCCACGGUGCGACCGUUGUCGGUGCCGUAGGGAAGCCGUGAAGCGAGCCACCUGGGAAGUACGGCCGCAAGGCUAGAAACUUUAAAGGAAUUGGCGGGGGAGCACAACAACGGGUGGAGCUUGCGGUUUAAUUGGAUUCAACGCCGGAAAUCUUACCGGGACCGACAGCAACAUGAAGGCCAAGCUGAAGACUUUGCCGGAUUAGCUG